UGGGCAACCUGCCCCUCUCUCUGGGAUAACCCCCGGGAAACCGGAGCUAAUACCGGAUACUCCGGCUGGAUCGCAUGGUCCGGCCGGGAAAGGUCCGCCGGAGAGGGAUGGCCCGCGGCCUAUCAGCUUGUUGGUGGGGUCAUGGCUCACCAAGGCGACGACGGGUAGCUGGUCUGAGAGGACGACCAGCCACACUGGAACUGAGAUACGGUCCAGACUCCUACGGGAGGCA
rnacentral:rRNA from 1 species